GACAGAGAGGGCAAGCGUUAUUCUGCAGUACUGGGUGUAAAGGGUAAGUAGGUGGCUAAAAAAACCUCCGGUUAAAGCUUUGAGAAGAACUGAAGAUAAUAAGGAGCCGAUUUUUGAGCUAGAGUUAUCCAGGGGUUAGGAGAAUUUCAGAAGGAAGGAUCAAAUCUGCAGAUUUCUGAAGGAAGACCAAAGGCGGAGGCACCUUUCUAGGGAUAACUGACACUGAGGUACGAGAGUAUGGGUAUCAAACGGG
rnacentral:rRNA from 1 species